ACCAAUGGAGAUAGCACGUUGAAUGCACCAGUUCCCAUCCGUUCACUGAAGUUAAGCAACGUUGCGCGUGGUUGGUAUCCGGACCAAUUGCUUGCUGCUGUUAAAA
rnacentral:rRNA from 1 species